ACUAUAACCAAAACCUCCAUUUACACCAUCAAAUAAAAAUAUGAAUUUCCAUUGAUGUGACUUAUUCUUUUUGAGUACCCAUGAAUGGCCCUAAAUACCCACUCUCUUUCUCCUUUAAUUUUAGGUUGUGGUACUGUUUUUCCCCAAUAUCGUCUUCUUAAAGUCAGAAUCUGCAUAUACUUCCUUCAUGAAAGUUGUAGAUCGUGAAAAGUUAUUGAAUUUAGAUCCAAAAAUAAACUGAUUCGGAGUUCGGAGUAAAGAGUUAGACUCUCUAUUAGAAAGGAAAAGGGAUAUUACAAGCCUCCCCCGGCUAUCAAGUAUAAUAAUCGCGACUCGAGGUAACGUCUACUGCUAACACUCGCACUCCCCUUCCAACUACGUUUAAUGACGCUUUUACAUAAUGUUUUGAUGAUAUAUGUUUAUGGAUUGCGGGAUAUGAAAUGUUUUGCUAACUGAUGCUUACGAUGAUGUUAUGAUAUAAACUGUUUUUCUUGAUGCUUGAAAGAUGUUUUAUGACGUAAAUAUAAAAAUGACGAAACAUGAAAAAUGAAAGUGAAAGAUGGUUUAUGGCAGUACUAUGUUUUCUGGGCCGUGCACGUGUCAUUCUGUUAUAUGGCGGCAACGCCACCUUUUGAUGGGGGAUAACGUCCUCGGUGGUACCCGCAUUAUAUUUAGCAUUAUAUGCCACCUUCUGACGGGGGACAAAGGUCCUCGGUGGCUUUGCCUUAUGUUUGGCAUUAUAUGCCACCUUCUGAUGGGGGACAAAGGUCCUCGGUGGCUUUGCCUUAUGUUAUGAUGUAUGGCUUUAUGUCACCUUCUGAUGGGGGACAUAUGUCCUCGGUGGCUUAGCCUUCUGUUGUACUCGCCAAAUAACCAAAAGAAGAUUUCUGAUAAUUAAUAUGAUAUAAUGAUGAGUUACAAUACGUAUCAUUCUUUUAAAUCCCUGAUAUGAAUUGCAAACUGGUUUAACUAUAUUCUCCCCUCUCUGUUUGCAAAUAAAAUGAGUUGAAAUGAAUUUACGCUGUUAGAGUAGUAUGUUACUGGGACUCGGCUCAUGACGUUUUGUUUUCUGUUUUAGGUAUGGCAAAGCAUAUGCAAGGUGAUAUUAUGGAUUAUGUUGAAGUAACUCUACACAUAUUUGGGAUGUUUAGAAUACUAUGUAUUAUGAGUAAUCAUUAUUACUCUACUUGAGAGUUUGUAUAUUUUUAGAGAUCAUUUUAAGGCUAUUAUUUUAUUUAUGGGCCCAUAACCCACAGUUUAAGUUCCGUUUCCGCUGCCAAUCAUGAGUAAUUAAGGUUAUGAA